UCCUCUGUGGUGUACUGGUAGCACGCGUCCUCGGUAUGGAUGAAACGCGGGUUCGACUCCCGUUUGAGAUCGUAU